rfam:Sodalis praecaptivus strain HS1, complete genome.
GCAGUAUCUCGUUUGGCGAGGCUCCUAUACAAAUACAGGUUACUGAUCUGACGACGUCGAGAGACGCCCAAGGUUAGGACAGGCUUUAUCGGAUUAAGGUUUAGCCCAAAGUAACUUCUGUUAUACAGAUACGUUGUAUAGUGCCAAAACCGUGACGUGGAGAUAGGCU